rnacentral:rRNA from 1 species
AUUGAACGCUGGCGGCAGGCUUAACACAUGCAAGUCGAACGGUAACAGGGAUUAGCUUGCUAAUUUGCUGACGAGUGGCGGACGGGUGAGUAAUGCUUGGGAAUCUGGCUUAUGGAGGGGGAUAACUACGGGAAACUGUAGCUAAUACCGCGUAAUAUCGGAAGAUUAAAGGGUGGGACUUUCGGGCCACCUGCCAUAAGAUGAGCCCAAGUGGGAUUAGGUAGUUGGUUAGGUAAAGGCUGACCAAGCCGACGAUCUCUAGCUGGUCUGAGGGGAUGACCAGCCACACUGGAACUGAGACACGGUCCAGACUCCUACGGGAGGCAGCAGUGGGGAAUAUUGCACAAUGGGGGGAACCUUGAUGCAGCCAUGCCGCGUGAAUGAAGAAGGCCUUUCGGGUUGUAAAGUUCUUUUCGGUGACGAGGAAGGUUAAUAUGUUAAUAGCAUAUUAAAUUGACGUUAAUCACAGAAGAAGCACCGGCUAAC